AAUAUUGGACAAUUGGCGAAAGCCUGCUCCAGCCAUGCCGCGUGUUUGAAGAAGGUCUUCGGAUUGUAAAGCACUUCAAGGUGUGAGGAAUGGUUGUAGGUUAAUAACCUGCAAUUUUGACGUUACCAACAGAAUAAGCACCGGCUAACUUCGUGCCCGCAGCCGCGGUAAUACGAAGGGUGCAAGCGUUAAUAGGAAUUACUGGGCGUAAAGUGAGCGUAGGUGGUUCGUUAAGUUGGAAGUGAAAGCCCCGGGCUUAACCUGGGAAUUGCUUUCAAAACUGACGAACUAGAGUACGGUAGAGGAUAGUGGAAUUUCCUGUGUAGCGGUGAAAUGCGUAGAUAUAGGAAGGAACAUCAGUGGCGAAGGCGACUACCUGGACUGAUACUGACACUGAGGUGCGAAAGCGUGGGGAGCAAACA
rnacentral:rRNA from 1 species